rnacentral:lncRNA from 1 species
CAAGAAUUGUGUAACUCAUCUGCAAAUCUAUGAAAGUAGAAUUUUUCACUGCAGAUUUUUGUUCAGUUCUUGUUUAUAAGUAGGGGUCAGUAUCUCCAAAUGGAAAAACUGAAGUGUUAUUCAUGACAGAAAAAUCCUGAAGUCUUUACACAAUGCCAGAGUGCUCUGCCUCUCUAGCUGUGAAAUGCAAGAGUGACUACAAGAAAAAGGCCACUACUGUGUCUGUAUUUGUAUCCUGCAGGGUGUCCCACAUCUGUUCGCCUGACCAUCACAUGCUUGAAGGCAGCACUGUGGGGAAACAUCUGGCAUUUAUAUGAGUGGAGAAGUCAACUAAAAUAUUUUUCAGUGUUAGAAGAGUCAAGAGAAGAGUUAAACACAAAGACAAAGGAAAGGUGACACUGGCUGGGGAACAGAUCCUCAGAUAAAGCACAGAGUCCAAUGAGGGCACUGUGCUUUGAGAUAACUGCAAUCUUGUUUGAGAAUGUACAGACAGAAACUGCAAACACCUUGAAGAGAUGCAGGGAACGUGCCCUAGGAGAGAAGAUUAUUUAUUCUGAAGGAGGAAAAACAGGAUGGAUUGUUCCACUUUAGUCAACUACAGCAUGAAUAAUGCCAGGCUCUAGAGGACUUAAAUGGGCCAAAAGAACAUUUUUUAGAGAUAAACUCUAUUUUAUCCUGCCAUUAAUAGAGAAGAAGGAAUAGAGUGAUUUCUUUAGGUGUCCUGUAAACAAUUCUAGAAUGCUUUAAAAAGAAGAUGAAAGGGCAAAUCUGAAACUGAAAUAAGCCUUAAAGUAGUUCAUUUAAAUUUUUAAGAUCUACAAAAGCCAAUUACCUUUCAUUUCUAGGUCACUUAAACUGUGUAUAUAUUCAUUACAUGACUACAUAACAAAAAGCAUUUAAAUUAUGCGUGGCCACAGGAAUUGCCAUGUUUCUCAAGCAAGUUUCUGAAUAUCCUUAGUACAUCUCAUAAAUGUCUCUACACUAAUGAUCCAAUUCAUUGUUAGUAUUCUUUUUGCUUUUCACUUAUUACAGUCCAGUUUUGGAAUAUAAAAUAUGCUUUCUAAAAUAAGAGUUUUCAUCACUUAUGUACUGCCAGCUAGCAAAGCAAAAAAUAGAGAAAAUGGCUAUUUCUAUUUCAUAUUGCUUAAUAUCCAUCACUUUAAUGGAAAUGAGAUAAAGUAGAUAAUCGUAAUAAGAAUAGCAUUAACAGCACAUACAUAUAUUACAUAUUUCUCAGAGGUACCAUUGUUGUACCAUUUACAUUGUUAAUAUUAAAAUGUCUCAAGCAGUACAACCCAAUGUAACCAGUACUAUAAAUAUUACCUUUAAUAAAAAGAGUUGAAUGAGAUUUUAACCUUGAAUU